CAUCCUCCAAGGCUAAAUACUCCUGACUGACCGAUAGUGAACCAGUACCGUGAGGGAAAGGCGAAAAGAACCCCGGCGAGGGGAGUGAAAAAGAACCUGAAACCGUGUACGUACAAGCAGUGGGAGCACAGGUUUACCUGUGUGACUGCGUACCUUUUGUAUAAUGGGUCAGCGACUUAUAUUCUGUAGCAAGGUUAACCGCAUAGGGGAGCCGGAGGGAAACCGAGUCUUAAUUGGGCGUUAAGUUGCAGGGUAUAGACCCGAAACC
rnacentral:rRNA from 1 species